rnacentral:rRNA from 1 species
AUUGAACGCUGGCGGCAGGCUUAACACAUGCAAGUCGAACGGUAACAUAAAGAAGCUUGCUUCUUUGAUGACGAGUGGCGGACGGGUGAGUAAUGCUUGGGAAUCUAGCUUAUGGAGGGGGAUAACUACGGGAAACUGUAGCUAAUACCGCGUAAUAUCGAAAGAUUAAAGUGUGGGACCUUCGGGCCACAUGCCAUAGGAUGAGCCCAAGUGGGAUUAGGUAGUUGGUGAGGUAAAGGCUCACCAAGCCGACGAUCUCUAGCUGGUCUGAGAGGAUGACCAGCCACACUGGGACUGAGACACGGCCCAGACUCCUACGGGAGGCAGCAGUGGGGAAUAUUGCGCAAUGGGGGCAACCCUGACGCAGCCAUGCCGCGUGAAUGAAGAAGGCCUUCGGGUUGUAAAGUUCUUUCGGUAGCGGGGAAGGCAUUUAGUUUAAUAGAUUAAGUGA